rfam:Cavia porcellus supercont2_23 genomic scaffold, whole genome shotgun sequence.
GGGGAUUUAGCUCAGCGGCAUAAGCGCCUGCCUUGCAAGCAGGCAGUCGUGAGCUCAAUCCCUG